rnacentral:rRNA from 1 species
AACCCGCCCUCGCAUGAAGUCGGAAUUGCUAGUAAUCGCGGAUCAGCAUGCCGCGGUGAAUACGUUCCCGGGCCUUGUACACACCGCCCGUCACACCAUGAGAGUUGGGGAUACCCGAAGCCUGUGAGCCAACUAUUUAUAGAGGCAGCAGUCGAAGGUAGAAUCAAUGAUUGGGGUGAAGUCGUAACAAGGUAGC